AUUGAACGCUGGCGGCAGGCCUAACACAUGCAAGUCGAACGAGUGGCGGACGGGUGAGUAAUGUCUGGGCAACUGCCCGAUGGAGGGGGCUAACUACUGGAAACGGUAGAUAAUACCGCAUACCAUCGGAUGUGCCCAGAUGGGAUUAGCUAGUAGGUGGGGUAAAGGCUCACCUAGGCGACGAGCCCUAGCUGGUCUGAGAGGAUGACCAGCCACACUGGAACUGAGACACGGUCCAGACUCCUACGGGAGGCAGCAGUGGGGAAUAUUCGACAAUGGGCGCAAGCCUGAUCCAGCCAGGCCGCGUGUAUGAAGAAGGCUUUCGGGUUGUAAAGUACUUUUAGCGAGGAGGCGUUACUCGCAGAAGAAGCCCCGGCUAACUCCGUGCCAGCAGCCGCGGUAAUUC
rnacentral:rRNA from 1 species